CCUACGGGAGGCUGCAGUGGGGAAUAUUGCACAAUGGGGGAAACCCUGAUGCAGCGACGCCGCGUGAGUGAAGAUGUAUCUCGGUACGUAAAGCUCUAUCAGCAGGGAAGAAAAUGACGGUAGCUGACUCAGAAGCCCCGGCUAACUACGUGCCAGAAGCCGCGGUAAUACGUAGGGGGCAAGCUUAAUCCGGAUUUACUGGGUGUAAAGGGAGCGUAGCCGGCAGCACAAGUCUGGAGUGAAAUCCCGGGGCUGAACCCCGGAACUGCGUUGGAAACUGUGCGGCUGGAGUGCAGGAGGGGUAAGAGGAAUGCGUGGUGUAGCGGUGAAAUGCGUAGAUAUUAGGAGGAACACCGGUGGCGAAGGCGGCUUACUGGACUGUAACUGACGUUGAGGCUCGAAAGCGUGGGGAGCAAACAGGAUUAGAUACCCGUGUAGUC
rnacentral:rRNA from 1 species